rnacentral:rRNA from 1 species
GCCUAUACAUGCAGUCGAACGCGUUGGCCCAAUUGAUUGAUGGUGCUUGCACCUGAUUGAUUUUGGUCGCCAACGAGUGGCGGACGGGUGAGUAACACGUAGGUAACCUGCCCAGAAGCGGGGGACAACAUUUGGAAACAGAUGCUAAUACCGCAUAACAACGUUGUUCGCAUGAACAACGCUUAAAAGAUGGCUUCUCGCUAUCACUUCUGGAUGGACCUGCGGUGCAUUAGCUUGUUGGUGGGGUAAUGGCCUACCAAGGCGAUGAUGCAUAGCCGAGUUGAGAGACUGAUCGGCCACAAUGGGACUGAGACACGGCCCAUACUCCUACGGGAGGCAGCAGUAGGGAAUCUUCCACAAUGGGCGCAAGCCUGAUGGAGCAACACCGCGUGAGUGAAGAAGGGUUUCGGCUCGUAAAGCUCUGUUGUUAAAGAAGAACACGUAUGAGAGUAACUGUUCAUACGUUGACGGUAUUUAACCAGAAAGUCACGGCUAACUACGUGCCAGCAGCCGCGGUAAUACGUAGGUGGCAAGCGUUAUCCGGAUUUAUUGGGCGUAAAGAGAGUGCAGGCGGUUUUCUAAGUCUGAUGUGAAAGCCUUCGGCUUAACCGGAGAAGUGCAUCGGAAACUGGAUAACUUGAGUGCAGAAGAGGGUAGUGGAACUCCAUGUGUAGCGGUGGAAUGCGUAGAUAUAUGGAAGAACACCAGUGGCGAAAGCGGCUACCUGGUCUGCAACUGACGCUGAGACUCGAAAGCAUGGGUAGCGAACAGGAUUAGAUACCCUGGUAGUCCAUGCCGUAAACGAUGAGUGCUAGUGUUGGAGGGUUUCCGCCCUUCAGUGCNAGCUAACGCAUUAAGCACUCCGCCUGGGGGAGUACGACCGCAAGUUGAACUCCAAAGGAAUUGACGGGGGCCGCACAAGCGGUGGAGCAUG